rnacentral:rRNA from 1 species
UACGUAGGGUCCAAGCGUUAUCCGGAAUCACUGGGCGUAAAGCGUGCGUAGGUGGACUUUUAAGUGCAAUGCGAAAUCCUGUGGCUCAACCAUAUGGACUGUAUUGCAUACUGGAAGUCUGGAGGACAUGAGAGGCAAGUGGAAUUACCGGUGUAGCAGUGAAAUGCGUAGAUAUCGGGAGGAACACCGGUGGCGAAGGCGGCGACCUGGGUUGACACUGACGCUGAGGCGCGAAAGCGUGGGGAGCAACAGG